rnacentral:lncRNA from 1 species
CUUUCACAUUUAAUUGAAGUAAUUGUAUUGGGUGAAUAUACACAGGAAGCAUCAAAUUUUGCCUCUUGAGACAAUAUACCUUGACAAUGAGGCAAUGAGCUACAUGAGCAGCCAUUAUCUCCUCCUUAUGCAUAUAAUGUUUAACUUUCUUUAAUAAAUGUGUAAAAUUCUUGGUCCAUGUACAAAUACGACAAUAUUGAUUACCAAGAAAUCUCUCUGCUUAUGGCAUCGAAUGGUCGUAGUAAAGACUAGCAGCUAAAUUGCAUUCGUUGAGAGAGAGAGAGAGAGAUCUAAGCUUUAAUAACAUGUUAAAAUUUUCGUAAUCAAUCAUUACUAAGAAAAAUAAAUUUGAUCUCUUGCCUAGCACGAGUUUUAGAUAUAUUGUCCAUGAAUAUAACAUCAGUUCUAUAACUCAAAACAUUAUAAUCUGUUUGAAGAAAACAAAGAUAGACUUAGUUUCAGAGUUAAUCUAUCUGCUGGAAGAAAUAACAUGUUUCUGUCCAAGUUUUUGCCAAUAAUGUUAAAUAAUGGGUACUCAAUCUUUACGGUAAACCUAAAAAAACACUGAUCUCAUGCCUUACACGAGCUUAGAUCUAUAUGUCCAUGAAAUUAGUCUCAGCUUUAUAAGUCAAGGGAUCAAAAGCCAUUUGAAACGAAAGAAAGGAAAGCAAUUAAAGGAAUCAGAUACUCACCAUCUGCAAACUUGGUAUUGCCUUCACCUCUCAUUCUCAGAAGUCGUUCCCACCCACGAAGGGGUUGAGAAAUGUUGGGUUUGUCAAUUGCCCAAAGCCUACUUUCAUCUUGCAUAAGGUCAGUUGGAUCAUCACAUGAUACGUCAAACCGCCACUCAUGAGCUGUUUUGCAUAAGAAGGGUUGUUCUAUAAUGUGUUCCUGUAUUUCCUCAUACUUUGCCUUUGAUGGUAUGAGCCUCCAUUUGAAACAGUUGGCACACUGGACAGUGAAAACCCCUACAGUAGGCAAUACCCUCGAUGGCUGAUUUGAAAAGGGGAAUUAGAAAAGGAUGGAGGUUGAUGAGCAAUGGAAUGUGGGACAGCUUCAACUCCACGAGCACUAUUGGCAACAGCAGGUUCAUAAAGCACCAACUGAUUUUGAGUAUUUUCAGCUUGAUUUUCUUCACCUCCUACGUUAUGAAUUUCUUCUCCAUCUGCAGAAGAAAAUGGAUCUUGAGGAGUCCUCUCCAGGUUGCCUCCAAGAGUGAAACUUGUGAGAAAGGUGC